UACGUAGGUGGCGAGCGUUGUCCGGAUUUACUGGGCGUAAAGGGAGCGUAGGCGGACUUUUAAGUGAGAUGUGAAAUACUCGGGCUCAACUUGAGUGCUGCAUUUCAAACUGGAAGUCUAGAGUGCAGGAGAGGAGAAUGGAAUUCCUAGUGUAGCGGUGAAAUGCGUAGAGAUUAGGAAGAACACCAGUGGCGAAGGCGAUUCUCUGGACUGUAACUGACGCUGAGGCUCGAAAACGUGGGGAGCAAACAGG
rnacentral:rRNA from 1 species